rnacentral:lncRNA from 1 species
CAGAAUACUUGAGAAAAUCACAAAAUAAUCACAAUAUAUACUAUUGUUUUGUACUUUAUAGUAUAUGCAGUUUGGCUUACUUCUCAAAACCAAUUACAUAAACAGUGAAGAUUUUAUUCUUCCAAUGCUAAUGAAAUAGAAAUAGGGGCUUGGAGAAGGUUAAUAAGAUAUACAAGGUUACUGUAUUAGUCCAUUUUCACACUGCUCAUAAAGACAUACCCAAGACUGGGCAAUUUACAAAAGAAAGGAGUUUAUUGGACUUACAGUUCCUCGUGGCUGGGGAGGCCUCACAAUCAUGGAAGAAGGUUAAAGGCACAUCUCAUAUGGUGGCAGACAAGAGAAGAGAGCUUGUGCAGGAAAACUCCCCCUUACAGUAACCAUCAGAUCUCGUGAGCCUUACUCACUAUCACAAGAAUAGCAUGGGAAAGACCUGCCCCCAUGACUCAAUUACCUCCAACCAGGUUCCUUUCACAACAUAUGGGAAUUCAAGAUGAGAUUUGGGUGGGGACACAGCCAAACCCUGUCAUUUACAUUGUCAGUAAAUGACAGAGUUGGAUUAAGAAUCUAGGCAUCUCUGCUCUGCUGCGGAUUUGCAGGGGGUUCACGAUAUCAAGUUCCCUAAUUCUGAAGCUACAUUCACUUUAAAUAGCCAGAUGAGUCAAGUGUGGACCAGUCUGAAAUUCAGAAGCUCUGAAUUCUUCUGAGCACUCCCAGCCUGAUUUAGUAUUCUAAGGUGAUAUGACAUCAUAGUUUAGGGCAUGGGCCCCAGAGGCAUCCAGACCUUGUUUCACAUCCCUAAUUCCUCCACUUACUAGCUCGAUGAGCUUGAGCAAGGUAGUUUCAGUCUCAGUUUUCUUCUCUGUAAAUGGAGAUUUUCAUGAAACUUAAAUGAGAUAACAAAUGUAAAAUUCUUGGCCACAAUAAGUGUUGCAUUAAUCAUUGCUACUAGCAUUUUACUUUAUGCUCAUUUCUCUUCUCCCAUUAACGCUCUGCAACUGUUAAUAUGUAUAUAAAAGUUUCUUAGAGGAAAGAAAAUGAAAACACAUAUAGGUUUCAUCACACACAAAACACUGAACACACAUGGAGACUCUUUCCCCCAGGGACUUACAUUCUACCUCUUGGAAUUACUGCAAAGUCCCUUGAAUCCAGAUGUAACAUAGCAUUUCUUUGGACUGAAUAAAUAAUACAUCUUGCUUAGCCAUGUGACUCCAUUUUUUAAGUGAGAACAGCAGUACCCAGCUGCCCUAAAAAGCCGAAGAGAGUGAAAUGUAAAACUUGAAUUGCC